AUGGGUGGCGCCGCGACGGCCAGCCCCGAGCACCGGCGCGAGCUCCGUGCUCGUCUGCUUCCGCCGCGCCACGGCCUCCAGGGGACGGCACCGCUGCCGAUCCACGACGAGCUCGUGGAAGAGAUCUUUCUCCUGCUGCCCACGCCAACCGAUCUGAUCCGCGCCUCCGCCGCCUGCGUCUCCUUCUACCGUCUCGUCGCCACUCGCUCCUUCCGCCGGCGCUUCCGCAAGCUCCAUGCCCCGCCCCUCCUCGGCUUCCUCGAUCACGAGCGAGAAUUUCUCCCCGCAAUCCCGCCGCAUCCUUCCGCGCCCGCAGCCGACGCCGUCGCCCUCGCCGCCGACUUCUCCUUGUCCUUCCUCACCAGAGAUCCCUACUUCACCCCCGCCCACUACUGGGACAUCGAGGACGUCCGCAACGGCCGCGUCCUCAUCAGCAGACAUCCCUUCCAUGAUCUUUCCCUGGCAGUGUGCGACCCCUUGCACCGGCAGUACCUCCUGCUUCCCCCAAUCCCUGAAUUCGAGGGCUGGGCUUCACUGUACAACCUAAGGACAGGAUGGCAGACCUUCCUUGGGGACGAGGAGGAGGCCGUGGAAGAGACAUCAUUCACAGUGGUCUCGAUCUCACAGUGGGGGAAUUGGCUGGGAGCAAUCAUGUUCUCUUCCAGCACCGGACAAUGGCGGCCUAGUCCAUGGAUUGAAGGGUUUGCCUUCUUCAACCAGUGCCGGUACGCGUAUGGCUGCUUCUACGGGGUGACAGAGUGCAGGCAAAAGUUGCUGGUGCUUGACACACAGAAAAUGGAGUUCUCUCUUGCUGAUCUCCCACCUGAAGCGAGAGGUUCUCCGGAACGUGAUGUGGAUAUUGCCUUUGUGGAAGCAGGGGAAGGCAUCACUGGGAUGUUUGUGCAUCCAGGUCACACAUAUAAUAGCAUCAGUUAUCUAAUUAAGCGAAACAAUGGUGGGAGUUCCAGCGAGUGGAAGUUGGAGAAGACAAUCCCACUGGAUUUUACUGGGUCCAGGUUCAUGGGUUCAAGCGGAAGGUACUUGCUUCUGCGUUGUUGGUGA
rnacentral:rRNA from 1 species